UAGCAACAUCUACAUUCUGUCAAACGUUCGCUGACGUAAAAUUUUUUCACUUCACAAAUCUUUGUUUUCACGACGAGAAAUCUCAGACGUCCGCAGUUUAAGCCUCAACGGCAGCGCGUAGCGCGUGAUGUGAUAGUGGCACCCAUGUCGGACAUGGAGGGCAAAGGCCAGGAGGCCAUGACCGAACAGAGGAGGCCAUUUUUCUACCCAGACAGCAGCAGCGAUACCGAGGAGUACAGAAGAGACAACGAGGAUAGGAGAAAGAGGUUGUCUAAGAGGAAUUUGCCUCCUAUGAGGGCGCGUUUGUCUUCUGCGAGCAUGCCUCCGAAGAACCAGGCAGCCACGCCGCUGCCUUCCACGUCGGCAGCUCAGGAUCCGCCUCGUAAUGGGAAGCAGCUAUGUGAAGAUAGGAUUACAUUGGUGGUAGAUAAUACUAGGUUCGUGGUAGACCCAGCGCAGUUCACAGCUCAUCCAAAUACGAUGCUUGGCAGGAUGUUCAGUUCAGGUCUAGAAUUCACACAUCCCAAUGAGCGAGGAGAGUAUGAGGUGGCUGAAGGUAUCUCGGCAACAGUGUUCCGAGCCAUUCUGGAGUACUACCGGGGCGGAGCUAUCCGUUGCCCGCCAGCGGUGUCUGUGCAGGAGCUUAGAGAGGCCUGCGACUAUCUGCUGGUGCCGUUUGAUGCUGAUACUGUUAGAUGCCAGAACCUCCGAGGCCUGCUCCACGAGCUCUCCAACGAGGGAGCCCGGAGGCAGUUCGAGAACUUCCUCGAGAAGCUCAUACUCCCGCUCAUGGUGCAGUCAGCCCGGCGAGGUGACCGCGAGUGCCACGCUGUGGUACUGCUAGAUGAUGAUGCGGUGGAGUGGGACGAGCAGUAUCCCCCGCAGAUGGGGGAUGAAUACAGUCAGACCGUGCUGUCCACACCGCUGUAUAGGUUCUUCAAGUAUAUUGAGAACAGGGACGUGGCGAAGCAAGUGAUGAAGGAGCGAGGUCUCAAAAAGAUUCGUCUCGGCGUGGAGGGAUACCCGACAUACAAAGAGAAAGUUCGUAAAAGGCCCGGGGGCCGAGCCGAGGUGAUCUACAACUACGUGCAGCGUCCUUUCAUCCACAUGUCCUGGGAGAAGGAAGAGGCAAAGAGCCGGCACGUGGACUUUCAGUGCUUCAAGUCCAAGAGCGUGACCAACCUGGCCGAGGCCACCGCCGACCCGGUCAUGGAGCUCGAGAACAGGGUGCGCGAGCUGGAGGUGGAAGUCCAGCCCGAGCCUCCAGCGGAGCUCCCAGCAGAAGAAGAGCCGGCGCAGUGACCCGCUCGUACCGCGCUAGCGCUCCUAGCUAGCUUCUGUUGGCACUACGCCUGACGGAGUAUCACUCUUAUACCAUGUUAUACCAGUCUCAUACAAAGGAGUAUCACCCGUAUACCAUGGAGACCACUGUGUACACUAGUAGGUUGGCUUAUAAGAGUCCUUAGCUACAGUGACCCGCUCGAACAGCGCGAGCGCUCCUAGCUAGCUUCUGUUGGCACUACGCCUGACGUUAUA